AGGUCUCAUAUGGGCUCACGUGCUCUGCUUGAGCUCCUCUUUCCUGUGUCACCAUCUAAAAAGUAUCCUUGGUCAGAAAGCUUAAUACCUCCUCUGAAGACUGAUAAUAUACAUCAUCUUCCUGGACCAGUCUACAAGUGAGGGACAGUGAAUAUUUUGAAUGGCAGCUUUUAGAAACACAUCUCCCAGAGAGACAACUGAACAAUGACUCCUCGUGGGCUUCUAUUUGGAGCUCAGCAGGUGAG
rnacentral:lncRNA from 1 species